rnacentral:rRNA from 1 species
CUCCUUUGACGUUAGCGGCGGACGGGUGAGUAACACGUGGGUAACCUACCUAUAAGACUGGGAUAACUUCGGGAAACCGGAGCUAAUACCGGAUAAUAUUUCGAACCGCAUGGUUCGAUAGUGAAAGAUGGUUUUGUUAUCACUUAUAGAUGGACCCGCGCCGUAUUAGCUAGUUGGUAAGGUAACGGCUUACCAAGGCGACGAUACGUAGCCGACCUGAGAGGGUGAUCGGCCACACUGGAACUGAGACACGGUCCAGACUCCUACGGGAGGCAGCAGCG